AGCAGACUUGAGUAAGGCAGCAUCACACCAAGGAAAGCCAAGGUGCACUGCUCAUUAUCAGAAAAGAAGGAGGAGCUGGAGCGAUAGCACGGCGGGCGAGAAAACCAAGGUUCAAGAACCUAUCACAUGGAGACACUCAGCUAGUUCCUGGAGAGCCAAUAUUUAAACUCAGGAGCAGCACCAGCCCGCCUGCCACCGAGAUGUGAUCCCAGGGGCUGCACGGGUGCGGCCCCUCCACAGCUGCACGAGCAUGACUCCAGAGGCCAGCUAAACUACUUUUGGUAUGGGCAGCUCCUUGCAGAAUGUCUCCAGACUGAGAACUAAGCCGAGACCCCAUGCCUGCCCAGGAGGGGAAAGGGAGAAGCAGCGUGGCGUCCGCCAUAUUAUGAGGUCUCUUAAGCAGGUACAAACGUGGUGACACGGUAAGGAGGAAAAAAGAAAAAAAGAAAAAAAUUUAUGUACUUGGAACAGCAGGAUGCUUGGGCAGUCUCGGGCCAGGGCCGAUACCGACACGCGCUCCAGCGAGAUUCAACCCAGGUGGCCACACUUUUGUGCGGCCGCUUUGCUGAUGAUCAACCAGGAUCCGGAGGCCAACUAGACUACUUUUGGUUCCAGAAACUGCUUACAGCCAUGUCUCUAGACUGUGAACUAAGC